CAUGCCGUAAACGUUGGGUGCUAGACGUGGGGGCCUUUCCACGGUUUCCGUGUCGUAGCUAACGCAUUAAGCACCCCGCCUGGGGAGUACGGCCGCAAGGCUAAAACUCAAAGGAAUUGACGGGGGCCCGCACAAGCAGCGGAGCAUGUGGUUUAAUUCGAAGCAACGCGAAGAACCUUACCUGGACUUGACAUACCCUGAAUAUCUUAGAGAUAAGAGAAGCCCUUCGGGGCAGGGAUACAGGUGG
rnacentral:rRNA from 1 species